rnacentral:rRNA from 1 species
GACGAACGCUGGCGGCGUGCUUAACACAUGCAAGUCGAACGGAAAGGCCCUGCUUUUGUGGGGUGCUCGAGUGGCGAACGGGUGAGUAACACGUGAGUAACCUGCCCUUGACCUUGGGAUAACUUCAGGAAACUGGGGCUAAUACCGGAUAGGAGCUCCUGCUGCAUGGUGGGGGUUGGAAAGUUUCGGCGGUUGGGGAUGGACUCGCGGCUUAUCAGCUUGUUGGUGGGGUAGUGGCUUACCAAGGCUUUGACGGGUAGCCGGCCUGAGAGGGUGACCGGCCACAUUGGGACUGAGAUACGGCCCAGACUCCUACGGGAGGCAGCAGUGGGGAAUAUUGCACAAUGGGCGGAAGCCUGAUGCAGCAACGCCGCGUGCGGGAUGACGGCCUUCGGGUUGUAAACCGCUUUCGCCUGUGACGAAGCGUGAGUGACGGUAAUGGGUAAAGAAGCGCCGGCUAACUACGU